CCUACGGGAGCAGCAGUGGGGAAUUUUGGACAAUGGGCGCAAGCCUGAUCCAGCAAUGCCGCGUGCAGGAUGAAGGCCUUCGGGUUGUAAACUGCUUUUGUACGGAACGAAAAAGUCUGCCCUAAUACGGUGGGCCCAUGACGGUACCGUAAGAAUAAGCACCGGCUAACUACGUGCCAGCAGCCGCGGUAAUACGUAGGGUGCGAGCGUUAAUCGGAAUUACUGGGCGUAAAGCGUGCGCAGGCGGUUAUAUAAGACAGAUGUGAAAUCCCCGGGCUCAACCUGGGACCUGCAUUUGUGACUGUAUAGCUAGAGUACGGUAGAGGGGGAUGGAAUUCCGCGUGUAGCAGUGAAAUGCGUAGAUAUGCGGAGGAACACCGAUGGCGAAGGCAAUCCCCUGGACCUGUACUGACGCUCAUGCACGAAAGCGUGGGGAGCAAACAGGAUUAGAUACCCUGGUAGUCCACGCCCUAAACGAUGUCAACUGGUUGUUGGGUCUUCACUGACUCAGUAACGAAGCUAACGCGUGAAGUUGACCGCCUGGGGAGUCGGCCGCAAGGUUGAAACUCAAAUGAAUUGACGGCUGGAGACGUGCGACGGACGACGACGAGGGAGGAGG
rnacentral:rRNA from 1 species